GACGAACGCUGGCGGCGUGCUUAACACAUGCAAGUCGAACGCUGAAGCUUGGUGCUUGCACUGGGUGGAUGAGUGGCGAACGGGUGAGUAAUACGUGAGUAACCUGCCCUUGACUCUGGGAUAAGCCUGGGAAACUGGGUCUAAUACUGGAUACGAUAUGUCACCGCAUGGUGGUGUGUGGAAAGGGUUUGAUUGGUUUUGGAUGGGCUCGCGGCCUAUCAGCUUGUUGGUGGGGUAAUGGCUCACCAAGGCGACGACGGGUAGCCGGCCUGAGAGGGUGACCGGCCACACUGGGACUGAGACACGGCCCAGACUCCUACGGGAGGCAGCAGUGGGGAAUAUUGCACAAUGGGCGGAAGCCUGAUGCAGCGACGCCGCGUGAGGGAUGACGGCCUUCGGGUUGUAAACCUCUUUCAGCACGGAAGAAGCGAAAGUGACGGUACGUGCAGAAGAAGCGCCGGCUAACUACGUG
rnacentral:rRNA from 1 species